GGCUCAGAGUUACUGCAGACAGUCUUACACAGAGCUGGUCAGCGUGAGGAACCAGGAGGAGAACAGUCAGAUCCAGCAGCUGAUUCCUGCAGGAGAAGUCCCAUACAUGGGGCUUUUCAAAGACGCUUUUGUCUGGUCCGAUAACAGCACGUCUUCUUUCAGGAACUGGGAUUACUAUCAGCCGAAUGGAUCGGGAGACUGUGUGGUGCAUUUAAGACACAGCAGACUGUGGGAUGAUCAGGCUUGCAGUAAAACGAAUCCCUUCUUCUGCUACGACAGAACAGUAGUCAGACAGAUAUUGAGACUGAAAGUGGAAUCGGAUCAGAAUGUGAAUGAUUCUGAUAUAACGGCCACAAUCCUUCAGGAGAUUAAGCAGAAAAUGAUAUACCAGGGUUUGUCAGUGCAUGCUUAUCUGCAAUGGAAGCAUCAAGAAAAUGGAGACGUCUUCCAAAGAGAAGAGAAGACGAGAAAGACAUGAGACAUCACAGAUCAUCUUCUUCUCAACCAUCAAUACAGGGCAGGAUUUUCUGAAAGAGACGAUAAUUGAUUGAAUCAAUGUGGAAAAAACUAAAAAUGUCUCUUGACUUUUGCAAUCAGUUUUUGGAUCUUGAUCCACCAGAUGAGAAAAGCUGUUCUGUAGUUUCCUUAAAGCUAAAUUUAAUCACUAUAUUUAAAGUCAGCUGUAAAAAAUGAUUGUAACGUUAAUGUUAAAACAAUGUGAAAUGUCUUAAUGUCCCUUACUGAACAAAAACCACGUUUAAGCUUUAUGGAGUCCAAAUCUAAGCAUCCCCUCCAUGUCUCUGUGGUUCUGAUCCUAAACCUAGUGUGCUACCUGUUUAUUUCAAUAGUGUGCUCCUGAUGGAAAAUCUGUUCUCAAAACUGGGUGACAAAGAUGAUUUUUAGAUGUAGAUUUAGGGUGAGAUGAGGGACAUGGAUUUUCCCCCAUGGGUUUAAGGUUUGAAAUGUUGCAUGAAUUACAUUUGACUGAAAUGCUUUCAUUGAAACAUUUAGCAUUCUGCAAAUAUAUAAUAAAACAGCACUAGAUGUAAGUUUUAGCAUAUUUGUUACCUGAGGGAGAUCUGUGGGAUGGUUUCUCAGGAGUGGCUCUGACUCAACAUGGAAGAUCUUGUUGAUUCGCUAACGUUUUUUCCCCUUUGCAUUUCUUAUAUCAUGUAGUUAAACCGUUUUGUUGUCAUAUUUAUUUAUUUGAUUUUCUGUAUUAUCCCUAGACUUAUGUUUAUUAUCAUUACUGACUGCUGUUGUAUUAGUUUAAUUCAAUAAAACAAUUUGCAUUGAU